GUUGUUCCUAUGUCAUGAAACGCGUCGAGACGAAUUGGGCGAAACAAAACAAAUUGUUGCUAAUUAUAUUUAUAUUCCUGUGAUUUAAAAUACCAAAUGGAACUUGGUAUCUUAUAUGCAUAUUUCAAUAGCUACUGUCAAUCAUUCCAACAAGUUGACUUAGUGCUCAGUCAAUUACCAUCUAUUUGAUCCUCAUACUGUCAAAAGCCUAAAACUAAUGUUUGAAGUUCACAUAAAGUGGAAUACAAAUGUGAGGAGAUAAGGUAUUUUCCCACUACUGCUACCACACCAACCACACUACGUCAAAUGCCUUACUAAAUCAUCACCCAAAUGAUAAAGGAAAUUUAUCCCACCCGAGGAGUAAUGCUGUUGGUUGCUGUGAAUUCCAUUUAUACGGUUUUUUCAUCAUGAACAUUUCAAUGUGCUUCUAAGAAAAGAGCACGCAAGUUCCCCACGGACAUCCUUGAGCUAAUGCUGGAUUUUGUCCAUGACAGAAGAGGGACUUCCAUCCUGCUCCAUCCUUAUCUUCAAGACGUACACUCAUCCAGCUUCACUGCUUCAGUUCUUCUUUGCUGCUUCACUGGCGAGUUAGUUCACUUCAGUUGCUUUGACACCUGCAGUCACUGACAACGGGAUUAUGGCCAGGUAAUGCAGCGGAAACGUCGAGAAGAGGGACACCAAAACGUCGCCGGUAUCUCCAAAAUGUCAGCGCGGAUCAUCAUUUGUUGUUGGUAAUGUUUGUGUUUGUUAACCCAUUGUCUGCCACGCCUUUGUUCCCCCCUACCUCCUUAGCACGGGCUUCCUAGAGGCCUCCUAAUAGCGUGCAUUCCAUCUUCCCCUGUCACCCCGGACUUGUCAGCAAUGGCAAGUCCCACCUUGGUCAUGGAUCCUUCAGACAUGGCGAGUAGAGAGUAGAGAACAACCUACGGGUUGUAUGGCGUGGCAGACAACGGGUUAACUUAAGUGUAUGUAUGUAUGUAUGUGAUUGUAAAAUGUGGUGGAAUUGUGGGUGGAGGUGGGACAAACAAGCAAUUCCUAUUCGAAGUUGUGUUUGCUGUGACUUAUAACUUGUAACAAAAUAAUGUUUAGAGUUGAAAAUAUAUUGAUCCAACUGCUAAAGUUUA